GCCACACAACAGUAUAUUAUAGAAUAGAAUUUAUUCAAGGCAUAGAGAGGGGAGUUAGGAGGGUAGCAGAGACAGAGGAAGGCAGAGAGAAGGAGACAGUAGAGGCCACCAUGACCAUGUGGAGAGAGGGGAGAUGGGAAGGGGGAGAGGAGAACCCAAAAGGGCAAGAGAGAAGCAAGCAGGACACAGGAGUAAGAGAGGGAGGAGGGGGCGAGCAGCCCCUCUUAUAGAGGGCCAGGCUUACCUGUUGCCAGGUAACUGUGGGGCGGAGCUUAGACAGAAUCCUAACAAAUGCUGCCACAUGUGACACCAGGAAACUGAAACAGCCAAUCCAGUUCUUCCCCAAUUCUUCAUGCAGAGGAAACACAUGAUAACACUUGUUCAUGGUGGCAAGCAGGCACUCCUUAGACUCCUUCCUCACACAGCAUAACUGAUACCUAUGGAGCUGUAGGAAGGGAAAAGAGGUGCACAGGCAAUGCAUCCCACAAAGUGUCUGUUGUCUUAUUAGAGACUCAUAAUGCUAUUCCUCCUGGACCAAGUCUAGCUUUAGAUAAGCAAAACAUUAAGUACUCCAGUAAGUAGACGCCAUGAGAACAUGUCACCUCAGGAUAAGCUAAGGUUUAGGGUUGUUGUAAUGAGUUCUUCACAUUUUCUGAAUUAUUUUUUACCUUAGAGAUCAGAAACUAUGAAUUUUUCAGUAAGCAUGCAUGGAAGAGCUGAGCUUGAACCUUUGAUCCUUCCACCUUUAUCUCCCAGCUGCUUGGAUUACAGAGGUCAGCAGAACACACCGCCUACGAACCAGUGUGAGCAACCGGCCAAUUACUACCUCGCUUCCCUUACGGUCUGAAGAAUAUAACACACGGAAUUCUGGGAGAUUUAUCUAAGAGUGCUUUCUGCAUCUCAGUUUCAUGAGUAAAUUAUUCUCAAACCAUGAGGUUCCUAAGCUUGACCCUCCUGAAAUUGAACCAGUGGUAACCAAAGAGAGCAUUUCUUUAUGAUGUCCAUUAUCCUGGCGAAAUGGAAGAGUAUGUUCAGAGACACCCUGGGCUCAGAAGCUGUGCUCCACCAUCUGGACUAAGACCCCCAGGGUUAGAAAACUACAGAAAUUCUACAAAUCAGACCUAGCGGCAGCCUCCAACAUCCCCGGUCUCUGUUUUAUUUAUCUUUCCUGGCCACCUCCAUUUUCCCCUCCAAAUGGAAAGCUAAAGUAAGAGAUGUGUUUGACAGAACAUUGUCAGAAUUCAUUUUACAGAAACAUACU